GGAGUAAAGUCCUUCCUGACCUUUCUUCUCCUCAGGAACUGCUCACACCUGAGCCCCAAAGAUGAGGGCCCAGGAGGACCCCGAGAGCCGGACGCAGGACACCCAGGGCCAAUGGCUCCAGCAGCCAGCACAGUGGACUCGUUCCUGCACCACGCAACGUGAGGUGGGAGCCAGGUGUGGCCAGCCCAAGUGGCAACAGCUUGAGUCCUGGGGCUCAGCAGCCGCCAGGGACCCCCCGACGUCCCUGGCCACAGAGCCCAAGUUUGACAUGUUGUACAAGAUCGAGGACGUGCCACCUUGGUACCUGUGCAUCCUGCUGGGCUUCCAGCAUUACCUGACGUGCUUUAGCGGCACCAUUGCCGUGCCCUUCCUCCUGGCCGAGGCACUGUGCGUGGGCCGGGACCAGCACAUGGUCAGCCAGCUCAUCGGCACCAUCUUCACAUGCGUGGGCGUCACCACCCUCAUCCAGACCACACUGGGCAUCCGGCUGCCACUGUUCCAGGCCAGCGCCUUUGCAUUUCUGGUCCCUGCCAAAGCCAUUCUGGCCCUGGAGAGAUGGAAAUGCCCCCCGGAAGAGGAGAUCUACGGUAACUGGAGUCUGCCCCUGAACACCUCUCAUAUCUGGCACCCAAGGAUACGAGAGGUCCAGGGUGCAAUCAUGGUGUCCAGCAUGGUAGAGGUGGUGAUUGGGCUGAUGGGGCUGCCUGGGGCCCUGCUCAGCUACAUUGGGCCUCUCACAGUCACCCCCACUGUCUCCCUCAUUGGUCUCUCAGUCUUCCAAGCUGCUGGUGACCGAGCUGGCUCCCACUGGGGCAUCUCAGCUUGCUCCAUCCUCCUGAUCGUCCUCUUCUCCCAGUACCUACGCAACUUCGCCUUCCUGCUGCCUGUCUACCGCCGGGGCAAAGGCCUCACUCUCUUCCGAAUCCAGAUCUUCAAGAUGUUUCCCAUCGUGCUGGCCAUCAUGACUGUGUGGUUGCUGUGCUACAUCCUGACCCUGACGGAUGUGCUGCCCAAAGACCCAGCAGCCUAUGGCUUCCAGGCACGAACAGACGCCCGUGGGGACAUCAUGGCUAUUGCACCUUGGAUCCGCAUUCCCUACCCCUGUCAGUGGGGCCUGCCCACGGUGACCGCGGCUGCUGUUCUGGGCAUGUUCAGUGCCACAUUGGCGGGCAUUAUUGAGUCCAUCGGAGAUUACUAUGCUUGUGCCCGCCUGGCUGGUGCGCCACCCCCCCCAGUACAUGCUAUCAACAGGGGCAUCUUCACCGAAGGUAUCUGCUGCAUUAUCGCAGGACUGUUGGGCACGGGCAACGGGUCCACCUCGUCCAGCCCCAACAUCGGCGUCUUGGGGAUUACCAAGGUGGGCAGCCGGCGCGUGGUGCAGUACGGGGCGGGCAUCAUGCUGGUCCUGGGCACCAUCGGCAAGUUCACGGCCCUCUUCGCCUCGCUCCCUGACCCUAUCCUGGGGGGCAUGUUCUGCACCCUCUUCGGCAUGAUUACGGCCGUGGGGCUGUCCAACCUGCAGUUCGUGGAUAUGAAUUCCUCCCGCAACCUUUUCGUGCUCGGCUUUUCCAUGUUCUUUGGGCUCACGCUGCCCAAUUAUCUGGAGUCCAACCCCGGCGCCAUCAACACAGGCAUCGCCGAAGUGGACCAGAUCCUGACGGUGCUACUGACCACCGAGAUGUUCGUGGGUGGGUGCCUUGCUUUCAUACUGGACAACACAGUGCCAGGGAGCCCAGAGGAACGAGGUCUAAUACAGUGGAAAGCCGGCGCCCAUGCCAAUAGUGAGACGUCCUCCACCCUCAAAAGCUACGACUUCCCCAUUGGGAUGGGCAUGGUAAAAAGGAUCGCCUUUCUGAAAUACAUUCCCAUCUGCCCAGUCUUCAAAGGAUUUUCUUCAAGGUUAAAAGACCAGCUUGCAGUUCCAGAAGACACUCCAGAAAAUACAGAAACCGGGUCCGUGUGCACCAAGGUCUGAAAAAUUACUUCCAGUGAUAUAGAGCAGAACUUCCCAACUGGUGUGGGCCACAAUGAGGUUACAGGUAUGCUGAAAUAUAUUGAUCCCUCCAGCCUUCUGGGUACCCGAGCAGAAUAUAGACCAACUGGAAUCCAUCAGCCAGUAAUCCACAGCCACGGUCUCCAACAUGCUAAACAAAUAUCACUUUACAACAAGGAAAAGGUCGGAAACACAGACACAUGAAGCAGAGAACAUAAAUGGGAGAGAAGACUUCAUGGGGAAUCAGAAGACUAAAGUCCGAAUCCCAGCUCUAUGCCUAACUUCCUAUAUAACCUUGGAUAAGUCCCCUCCCUGGGACUCAGUUUUCGUUAUCAGUUAAACGAAAAA